AUGAAUAGGCAAAAAGGAACAUACCUUUUGGGACACAAGAAUCCUUAUGUAGCCUCUUCCUCUCUGUCAGCGUCGCUUCUGGUACUCGACUACUUGAUGAUGGGAAGUACCUGGUCGUCGUCCAUGCCCAGGCAAGAGAGGCAGACUUGGCUUGGCUCGGUUUGGUCAAUUGAUCGAACAUCUCGUAGGCGAGCUGAGCACGAAGCAGGCAGCAGGCGAGGUGGUGAGGUCGCUAAAGGAGCUUGGAGCAGGAGCGGGGCGAAGAUUUGCUGCUGGAGGAGGCCAGUGUUGUCAACGCCGCCCCUGUUCACGUACCUGCAGCAGAAGAGCAGCAUCGCUCAUCAUAUACACUAA
rnacentral:rRNA from 1 species